rnacentral:lncRNA from 1 species
CACAGUUUAACCUCUCAUCUUGGAAGUAAAUGUUUCCAGGUUUUCAUCACUUCAAAAAACAUUUCUAUAAAUAUCCUUGUAUAUUUAUCCUUAGGUCCCAGGAUGGAACCUCAGGAGUCUGGUUGCUGGACAGAGGCUAUGUUUAUGGACAGGGGCUUUUGUUUAUGAAUCAGAACUAAGUGACAUCACCCAUUUUUAAUUUUGCUCAUCUGAUGGGCAUUAAAAGGCAUUUCAUGUGGCUCUUGCUGCUGCUGCUGCUGCUAAGUCACUUCAGUCGUGUCCGACUCUGUGCGACCCCAUAGACGGCAGCCCACCAGGCUCCCCCGUCCCUGGGAUUCUCCAGGCAAGAACACUGGAGUGGGUUGCCAUUUCCUUCUCCAAUGCAUGAAAGUGAAAAGUGAAAGUGAAGUCGCUCAGUCGGCUCUUACUUGCAUUUUUCUGAAACCAGAUACAAACUUCUUUGCAUGUUUUUGGCUGUUUUGGUUUCCUCUCCUGUAAAAUGUUUGGUUGUACCCUUACACUCUUUGAGGAGCUCUGUGACCUCGCACAUAUCUCAGUACAUCAUAAUUAUUUAUGUUCCAGAAUGCUGUGAGCUCCGCCUGGAAAGAUCUGUGUCUUAUUCCUAGCUACAACACCAGCAGCACACAGCAGGACUUCAGAAACCACCAGAUGAAGGAAGGAGCCUCUACCAGCUGUGGGAGACUCCAUUAUGCAGCCUCAAGCCCAAUCACCUGGGCAGCCUGGUGUGUCCUCCCAAGAUGCGGCCCUGAAGCCACUGUCACACUUCUGUCUGCUGGAAACCUCAGUCUGCCCCAACAAAGAGAGAGCCUCCGCCGCCAGGUCUUUACGGAGGAGGGGGAAGGAGGUGAGUAUUCCGUGAUUCUCAGCGCGUGGGGGAAACGCUUCUGGCAUUAAACAAAGCCUUUUUAUAUUUAAACUGCCAGCCCAGGAUUUUCAGAAAAGUUUCCCCAAGUGUGACUGAGGGUGUGUGCACACAAAAAAAUAAUACACCGACGGAUAAGCACAGUUGGAGGCAGAAACACGUGUGCACGUGCAAACACCCCAGUUAGGUCUAAACACCGCCACGACCGACACGAGCCACGUGCUCCUCGGCGGCAGCGCGCUGGGGACGCUUUUGCACGCCCGGCUGCAGGGAGGGGUCUGGGGGGGGGGGCCCCCCCG